AUCCAGGUGACGAGUCUCAAAUAGGACGAAAUGUGUCUCCUGCAU
rnacentral:hammerhead_ribozyme from 1 species